rnacentral:lncRNA from 1 species
AAGGACUGUUAGACUUGACGCAUUUACUCCUCUGAAAUUUGAAUAUGCAUAUGACGAGGGCAUGGAGAAAACAUCCUCUGUGUAACACCAUGAUCUUCUAUCCAAGGACACCAAGACCAUAGAGUCAGCUGAUCAAACUAAGUGAGGUAUUUUA